CAAAUUAGGAUUUUAUUUGAAGAUCGGAGAUGAUAGUUUGAGAGUUAGCUUGAAGUUCUUUCCAAAAGCAUAAGGAAAUUUUUUUGUAGGACUUUUGGAGACUUGACAAUUGUUAUUCAAAGUGAGGGUUUGUAUUAGUGAUUUGGAUUUUACAUAUCAUAAUUAGGACUAGCAAUUUUGGCUAGUUCAUGGAAUUACUAUAGCAUCUAUAGUUUAAAAUUUAAUACUAUUUAAAUUAUUAGAUGUGCUAAAUGUAUACAAAAUUUUGUGAUAAUCUAAUGAUGUGGUUUAGAGAUAUCUAGUUUUUAGCAUAAGAGGGUUUUAGAAGUUGGUAGUUUGGAGUUGGGUAGGAUUUCUAUGAUAUCUAGAGAUCUA
rnacentral:lncRNA from 1 species